GAAUUUACUCUUACCUAAAAAAACAUGAUACCCCUAAAACUUGCCAACAGACCUCAAUCCCAAAACGCACGCAAACUACACAGAUGCACUUUUUCUUUUAAACUGCUGCGCUGAGGCCUGGUUGAAGCUUUACCCACAUCCCUGGAGGCCCUUUGCUUUGUCGGGAUUAGAAGAGCAGUCUUUGCUGGGAGAGGUGUGGCAGACAAGAGUAGAGGGAUUCCUUGGUUACUCAUGGGAUCUCUGACUAGACAUCCUAACAUCUUUUCCUUCAGAAACAAAAUUAUGAAAGGCAGAUUCUUUACCGCUGCAUUCUCAGUCGUGUCCAACUCCUUGCAACCCUAUAGACUAGCCCGCCAGGCUCCUCUGUUCAUAGGAUUCUCCAAGCAAGAAUACUGGAGUGGGUUGCCGUGCCUUCUUCCAGGGGAUCAAACCCACGUUUCUGUAUUGGCAGUAUCUUGUGGAGAUUGAAUCUGCAAAUCGCUGCUGAGAGAUAAAUGAUUUGAUUUGAUUGUGACAAGCAUGCAAAUUAUUCUCUAUAUAAAACUGUGUCUCCUGGGAAAAAGCUGGACUAAUACCAUACUGAAAUGACCUUAACAGUGGAAUCCUUGAUUAGAUCCACGAUGUUAUGUACAUACUACAGCUCCAUAAAGUUGAUCAACUUCCACCAGGGAUGAACAGAUGUCCUGGCUUUAUCAGAAAUUGCUUUCCCAUUGCCACGCCUUUCACGAAAACCAGUCAUCGCCCUUGUUGUCUGAUUUUGUUGAGACGCUUUUAAAACUGUUUUUCCCUACCCGGAUAUUGGUUUGAAUGCACAGACUUUGCUAUUUACUUAUAAGAUGUAAUGGUAAUCAGAUAUGGUACCCUUCUCCUGAAACAGAAAUAAAA
ensembl:lncRNA